AACGAACGCUGGCGGCAUGCCUAACACAUGCAAGUCGAACGAGACCUUCGGGUCUAGUGGCGCACGGGUGCGUAACGCGUGGGAACCUGCCCUUAGGUUCGGAAUAACUCCCCGAAAGGGGUGCUAAUACCGGCUAAUGUCUUCGGACCAAAGAUUUAUCGCCUUUGGAUGGGCCCGCGUUGGAUUAGCUAGUUGGUAGGGUAAAAGCCUACCAAGGCGACGAUCCAUAGCUGGUCUGAGAGGAUGAUCAGCCACACUGGGACUGAGACACGGCCCAGACUCCUACGGGAGGCAGCAGUGGGGAAUAUUGGACAAUGGGCUAAAGCCUGAACCAGCAAUGCCGCGUGAGUGAUGAAGGCCUUAGGGUUGUAAAGCUCUUUUACCCGGGAUGAUAAUGACAGUACCGGGAGAAUAAGCUCCGGCUAACUCCGUG
rnacentral:rRNA from 1 species